rnacentral:rRNA from 12 species
CAAUACAGGGCCGCAGUGAAAAGGUCCAGGCGACUGUUUAUCAAAAACACAUGGCUUUGCUAAAUUGAAAGAUGAUGUAUAAGGCCUGACACCUGCCCGGUGCUGGAAGGUUAAGUGGAGGGUUUAGCUUCGGCGAAGAUCUGAAAUGAAGCCCCAGUAAACGGCGGCCGUAACUAUAACGGUCCUAAGGUAGCGAAAUUCCUUGUCGGGUA